rnacentral:rRNA from 1 species
AGAGUCGGGUUGUUUGAGAUUGCAGCCCAAAGAGGGUGGUAAACUCCAUCCAAGGCUAAAUAUUGCCACGAGUCCGAUAGCGAACAAGU